CUACGGGUUGCUGCAGUGAGGAAUAUUGCACAAUGGGGGGAACCCUGAUGCAGCAACGCCGCGUGGAGGAUGACGCAUUUCGGUGUGUAAACUCCUUUUAUAUGUCAAGAAAAUGACGGUAGCAUAUGAAUAAGCACCGGCUAACUCCGUGCCAGCAGCCGCGGUAAUACGGAGGGUGCAAGCGUUACUCGGAAUCACUGGGCGUAAAGGACGCGUAGGCGGGCUUGUAAGUCAGGUGUGAAAUCCUACAGCUUAACUGUAGAACUGCACUUGAAACUACGAGCCUAGAGUAUGGGAGGGGGAGAUGGAAUUAGUGGUGUAGGGGUAAAAUCCGUAGAUAUCACUAGGAAUACCUAAAGCGAAGGCGAUCUCCUGGAACAUAACUGACGCUAAGGCGUGAAAGCGUGGGGAGCAAACAGGAUUAGAUACCCUAGUAGUC
rnacentral:rRNA from 1 species